GUGCCAGCCGCCGCGGUAAUACCGGCAGCUCAAGUGAUGUCCCAUACUAUUGGGCCUAAAGCGUCCGUAGCUGGCCGCGCAAGUCCGUCGGGAAAUCCACCCGCCCAACGGGUGGGCGUCCGGUAGAAACUGGCCGGCUUGGAACCGGAAGGCUCAGAGAGUACGCCCGGGGUAGGAGUGAAAUCCCGUAAUCCCGGACGGACUACCGAUGGCGAAAGCACUCUGAGAAGACGGCUUCGACAGUGAGGGACGAAAGCUCGGGUCUCGAACCGGAUUAGAUACCCUGAUAGUCC
rnacentral:rRNA from 1 species